CCUAGCGACCCCUGGGGUUCUCAGCCACGCCUCCCUUUCUCGCACCGCCUCCUUUCUCCGCCUUCGCCCGCAGUCUAUAAAAUCCGGAACGCCGGAUCACGUCCCGGAGCGGCGAGCCAGCGGACGCGGAGACUGGGCAUGCUCCGCAGCGGCGCAGGUUUUGGACACAAGUAGGAAGAAGCCAGUGCAAGACACCGGCACCGAGAAUCGGGAGCCGCCACCCGCGACUUAAAGCCGAAGCAGGCGAUCGUCGGAGCGGGCUGAGAGCCGCCGAGACUGCCCUGCCGCCUUUUGCCUCUGUCUGCGCGGUGCACCGGACCCGGGCUCUGUCACCUGGGCGGCAGGGAUCCCCGCGCCGGGAGCCAGAACGGAUAGGACCCUCCUUCUGUCUGCUGCGGCCGGAGGGCCCCCCCCUGAGUGGAGCAGCCGCCGCCUUCUGCGGACCGCUGAGUGUCCGGCUCACGCCCGGCGCCCGGAGUAAGCGACUGCCACCGUCAGCUCGAGGAGGAGGGGGCGGCCAUGGGGCUGCUGUCCCAGGGCUCGCCUCUGAGCUGGGAGGAGACCAAGCGCUACGCCGACCACGUGCGGCGGCACGGGAUCCUCCAGUUCCUGCACAUCUACCACGCCGUCAAGGACCGGCACAAGGACUG
rnacentral:lncRNA from 1 species